UACAUGCACUCAUCCAAACAAAUUAAAAAUGCAUUAUCCUACACCUCCUCCUGAAAACUGCAAGGUUACUUGGGGAAGGCAUUGCCAGAAAUGAAGACGAACAGGUCAGAUGAGAGUGAUGAAGGCUGAUGGUGCUCAAGGAGGUCAGAUGUGAAGAGAUUGCAGACAUGAGAUGGUCCCUGUGGGCUGUGGAUGAGAACAUUCUGGUUGUAACAAAGGAGAAAGGCAGGUUUCAAGAGGAUUUUCUAAUCUGCACCAGCUGCAACACUCCCCGGAGUGACCACAUUCUCCAUCAGGAUAAUUGUAGCUUGUCCCAGAAAGUGAGAAUUAUAAGCGUAAAUCCAGUCAACCCUGUGGGAGAAAUAAGGGACCAAACUGACUGUCCUCAGGAGACCAGAGGAGUCCUGUUGAACUCACAAGGCAACUGGCAUCAGCACAAAGACAGCAAGCAACUUUUCAUAUUCUUGUCCAAGUGAAUCCUUACCACUGCUUCUGAUCCAGCUUGGAAAAAAACCAAAAACCUCCAAAUAAAACAAAACAAAUCAACCA
rnacentral:lncRNA from 1 species